rnacentral:sRNA from 12 species
AGAUGUGCUCGUAGAGUAACGAGCAGGGUAAACAAAAGAAAUGCUCAUUAAGA